GGAGAAGUUUCUUUGGUGAAAAAAAUGUAUGAGGCUCCUCCGUAGCUGCCUACAUGGUCCCGCUGUGCUGAGUGACUAGGGCCGCCGUGCAGGGUGGAGGAGAGACUCUUGUGGCCCUCUCCACAAAGGUGUGCGGGGCGCUGGGCUCAGCACCACAGCGGUUCCUCCGGUUCCUCAGACGGAAGUAAGUUGCCUCAAGUCUCUUCACCAGAGAGAGCUUGGCACUGCGAAGAAUGAGCACAGAGCGUGAUGAAGAAUUGCUUUAUUCCAAGAGGCAGAGCUUGCUGGCUUGCAUGCCUUGAGGAGGAAGGGAAGGAUAGCCAUGGAGGACUCUGAGGAUUUGGACCACAUGGUGGAACAAGACAGAUCUCUGCAUCAGUGGCUCUCCCAUGCAGUUGCACAUAUCUGCAUUCCCAGCACUGUCAAACAUGGUACUUCGGGCGUGCUCCUUCACCCUUGGAGAUACUGCCUGACAGCAUGGGGUCCGUCUCGGUGUGUCUUAGUUGAAAAGAAGAGGCAGUAUUUGGCAUCUUGUGAAGUGCCUCUGAUAGGAGGAGAAGUGGAUGACAUUCAGGUAUUUCUCUUCAGUCCUGUUAUUCCUGCUUUGUUUUACUGAGAUGAAGUCCUGUGUUUCUAAAUACGGUAAGGGCAAAUCUCAGCAGGCCUUCUGCUUUCUCACAGUCCUAAGCCUGCGUUUCUCAUUGACUCUCUGCUCAGCAACUUCCCUUGCUUGGUUUUCUCUUCUAACCGAUCCACACACACGCGCACUAUGUCACGCAGCCAGCUCUCUCGCUUAGCCCUCAGCAGUCAGUCCUAGGACGGUGGCUUUCACUGAGUUUUUAGCUAUCACCUGAUUUCAUUAAAUUUAGGUCUUGGAAGUGAGUUGUUUUUGAGGGGAUGCAAUUUUCAGAGCACUUUAUUGAAAAGCUAGGUAAAGCACCUCUCAAAAUGAUUAUUCAAACGUGGCAUACGUUUUUCCUGUGAAUUCUCAGUAGACAUCUUUGCGGUGGAUUUCCAAAAUAAAUUAGACUUUGCAUAGUGCUUUUUCUGUAUU
rnacentral:lncRNA from 1 species